UUCUGAUGUCAUAACUCCAGGUCACAGGAAGUAGGUGUUUCCAGCCUGUGCAGUUCAUCUCAUGUGCUUUCAGCUUUCUCCAUGCUAAACAGGCCCUAUGCAGCAUUGUUGUUUUACCCUUUCAUCUUUAAAUACCCAUUAAACAAGUUAACAACUUACACAGUGUGGUGCUUUGAAGAAGGGUUAUCUGCCUGUCAAUCUUACUUCAGACAGUGAGCAGGACAGAACAGUAGACAACAUCACGCACAGCUGAUGCAAUACAGCACACUCUUUGUCAUUUGGAAAUACCCUUCCCCUACUUUUUUGCCAACAAGAAUUAUAGGGUUAAUCAGUUGCUUAUUAUUAUUGGAACUGCUGUAAGAUUGAGAUGAUGUAAAUAAGCAUUUAUAGUACUAUACUGAUAUAUAAAACACUUGUUUUCAAUGGUGAUAUUGAUGCCUAAUUGUUUUUAAAUGUUUUACAAUGCUUGUAAUUUAUAUGGCUAAUGAAUUGAUAUGGCUAAUGAAUUUGCAAUAAAAAAUUUUAGUCUUUUAAAA